GUGCUCGCUUUGGCAGCAUAUAUACUAAAACUGGAACGAUACAGAGAAGAUUAGCAUGGCCCCUGCGCAAGGAUGACACGCAAAUACGUGAAGCGUUCCAUAUUUUU